CCUUAACAUGAUGCAUAUCAGCUGAUUGCUCUUUAUGGUUUGCAGUAUUGUAGGGUCCCAAGAUAUUAGAGAGACAAGGGGGUCACUUAACUCACAUCAUUGUGUGCUUGGUUAUGGAAGAGUGACUAGCUCUGGCUAGUAGAGGGGCAUCUGAGAGAUACUUUAAAAAUAUUGCAGGGGGUUUUAUUAUUUAAAGCACGCAUGUGAAAUGUUGGGACAUAGCUGCAGUGUGUGUUUGGGCUAACAGGGGUAGGGUAUGGAGGCUGGGAGAGGACAGCGUUCAGUGGGCUGUUAGUGGAAAACUCCUUGCAUGUCAGGCAGUGGAGCAGCUAUUGCUUUGUCUGUUAAGCUCUGCCUUGGUUAGGAGGACUGGUUAUAUUCCAGAGGCACCCGCCAAAGAUCAAGGCAGCAGCAGCGUGCUAGUUGCUGUACAAAUACAUAGUAAGAGACAAUUGCUGCCCUGGAGAGCUGCCGUAGACAGACAUCACCAGCAGGAGGCAGGGCUGCACAGAGGGGUUUUGGGGGCCCAGGGCAAAAUCUGAACCUGAGGAUCCCCACCGUUCCCAGAAUAUUACCACUGAGGUGGGAGCUGGAGCUCUGUCAUUAACACCCACCCACCUAUCAGAAUGAUCACAAGGAAUGUUGGUUGGAUUUCAUUGGUGUGAUCCCAGCUGUUCUGUGUUGGGAGCUGGCACAGGUGUGUGACAGAGGCCCAGCCAGAAGGCAGUUUUGGGCAAGCAGUGUGCAAAGCUCCAUAAUGCGGGCUGGGGGCCAAUCCCUGCUCUCAGUCGCUGCAGGAUAAAUGGGGAGUAGCAUGGUAGACAUCAGCGAUGCUGCUCUGGAUGUACACAGGUGUGGCUCAGAGCCGGGGCUGGGAUGUCAUGGCUUUACAAUGUGAUGAGGGGCUCAGAACUUUCGCCACGCGUGUUGUGGAGGGAGCUGACAGGUUGGACUGGAGCGAGCGGUAGAGAGAACAGCUUUCGGUCUGGGAGGGCAGCUGUGUGGCAUUUGGGUCUCUGCAGCCCCUCACAUGGGGUGAGUUCAUUUCUGUUCUGUUGUUACCAGGAAGAAAUCAGCUAGGGCUAGUGUGGUGAGCGAGAGGUGAUACAGCGGCCCCAGCAGCAUCAAUGCUCUUAGGGGGUAAAAAUCCCCAGACCCACUAAGUCACACUCACCACCAGGAAAUCUUUCUCUUUGGGGCCAGGAUGCGCUUCACAAGGGUCAGCAGUUAGCUGCACCCACGCUAAACGCUACAGAAAGCUAUAGCUAGAGGAGGCUGGGAAGGUACAGGGUACAAAGGGUUAACAAUGCAGUUUAGAGCCAAAGGAAAGAUCAGUGUGUUCCCUGCAUGGAGGUGGGUGGGACCUGUGCUGGCAGAAUGUCCCUGUCUCCAGAAGGAGGCUGGAGCAUUGACGAGGUCUAUGAGGCUGCUAGUGCUAUGUGUUGAGGUGGGUUUGAUCCCACCAAUGAACUGCAUAGGGGAAUAAUGGCAGAGGUGGUGAGACCCUUUCCUGGGGAAAGUGGGGCAGUUCUAGAGCAAGGUGUGACCAGAGGGGCGGGGACUGUAUUUCCUGGGAGAUUAGAGUGUUUUCAAUCCCACCCAUUUAAAGGAAGAGGCAGGCAUGGCUGGAUCCUACUCUGGGAAGACAGCAGAGAAAUCCAUGCGAUAGUCUGAAUAGCCCCAGACUGACUGGCCAGGGAGCAAGGAGCUGAGACGCAGACGUGAACUGAUCCCGGCGGUGAGGGACGGAGGGACAUGCACUGGGACACCUGCCAUGGUUCCCCCUUGUCUGGGUCCUGCCAGCCACGCUGCCUCCUCCCGGGACCCAGGUUCCUCCCUGCGAGCCCUGGGGGAACAGCCUCCAUUGCCCAGCAGAUUCACGCUUCACCCGCUGGGCUGCAGGACAUGCCCUCACCGGGAGCUGCUGGCUCAGGUUGACCGGAGUCCCACUUCCCCUGUCCCUGCGAGCUGCGCUCUCUACAACCGGCCCCUGAAUACACCCCCUCUGGUGGGGCCAUGGACUCAAGUCAUGACGAGGCCCAUGCCUCCCGCCGUAGGAAGUCGCUUUGUCUACUCCACAGCCAGGCCUGCGCCCACAUUGUCCCAGGUGGAUCAGAGCUGUACGCCUCCUCUCUCCACCAGCUGGGCCUUCUACUCCAGGGAUCAGAGCUUGUCCCCUCCCUGGGAGCCCAUAGAGAGAGCUAAGCAGAGCCCCGCGCUGCCUGUGCCCAGAUGCUACGCGGUGUACUCCAUGGACAGGAGCUCAGUGCCUUACCUGGCCCCGGGGGCUCCAGCUGGCCAGAGCCCUGCUCUGCCUCUUCCCAGGACUUAUGCUGUUUACUCUCUUGAGCGGACCUUGUUUUCUCACCUGGACUCCUCAGUGCAGCCGGGGCUGGGAUCCUCUUCUGUUCCAGUCAGCUGUGCUGUUUAUUCCAUGGACAGCCCGUCGCCCAGCCCAGCCCCACUAGCACAGCCUUCUCCCGACUCCUCUCUAUUCCCACCGCUUCUGCUGGCGGUGUACUCUGCGGGCCAGAGGUGCUGUCCCCCUCACCUGGAACUGCUCUCGCAGAUUGACCGCAGCUGCACUUCCCCGGUCCCAGCCAGCUGUGCUGUCUACUCUCGGGACACUCCACUCGAUCCUUUGCCCGGAUGGCUUGCGCCAAGCACUUAGCCCCGGGGGGCCGUGCCGGCUAAUCGCUGGAGCAGCACCUGACUCCUCAUCAGUUCCCAUUCCUCUGACUCAGCAGGCUUCCUUCCUACCCUUCUGUUCUGACCUGGCCCAGGCCUCCCCUGGCCUUGUGGCACUGUGCACAGCCUGCAGUUCCCCUCCCAGAGGGACUUUCCUCGCCUCCUGGUGCAACUCUCCUGCUUCAACUUCAGCAUCUCAGAAUAAAGCAAGAGCAGCUUGCCAGUGGGCUCCACUGCCUCUUGGGUGUUCUCGGUCUCCCACAGGAUCCUAAGCUGCUAGUGAUCCACAGAACAGGGCAAACAACCCAUGUCUUCCUCCCCCUCACCGUCCUUCUAAUGGCCUCAUCCCGACCUAGCAGGGCCACAAGAAGGUCAUGCUGUCGGCAGGUCCUGGUCAGUCCUUAGGCAUCUCAGCUGGGAAGCACCAGGUGUGCUGUGGGGUUAGUGAUGUGACCGCCUGGCCCUCAGAGAUAAAUAGGACUCGGAGCCAUCACCGCGUUUCACCCAGGGCCCCGAACGCAGAGCAGCUGGGGGUGAUGGGGGGCUUGACUGCCUGGGGCUGGAUUUUGAACAAUGGCUUAAGGAGGAAUGGCUCCCUAAGCUAGCAAGGCCCUGGGAGUCUCACCAUUAACAGAGGGCUGGGUUCUAACCCUUCAGCACACCUGGCGUAAUAUCCGUCCAGAAUGCUUUGCCAGUCCUGUACACCUCAAUCGGCUCCCUUUUCAGAGGUGUUACAGUAGCCCAGGAAGCCAUGUAAGGGGGUCUCUUCCCACUGGCAGAGUGCCCCACGGUAAAGUUGUGGCAGGAGGGGAAAAUAGAGAAGGGAGGAGUGUAAGAACAGAGGCCUCAAGGGAGAAGAGAACUAGGGCCACUGGUUGGGCUAAAAUAACCGUGAUUUGGUGAGUUUCUAGGUGAACCAUUGCCCUCUACUGAAUUGAAACAGAAUAUCAUAGACCCUGUACUGCUAGACAUGAACAAAUGGAGAUUCUUCCUUGAGCGGAGGUGGUGGGGACAGGAGCAUGAUUGUAGAGCAAAUAGGCCUGAGGCCUAACAGUGGCUGUGAAGUCUCAAGCAGUCACAGUGACCUCUGCAAUUACUUGCUAGCAACAGAUCCACUGCAAUAACCAAGACAAACCUUUGCCCCCCAAAUGGCUCGAGUGCUGAAGCUGCGUGCGACAUCACAAAUGUUUGGGUGACUUUUUGGAACCUCUGCACAGCUUAGGGCUGAUUCAGAGACAGGUUUUGCACUGGUUUUUGGAUGCAGUUAUACUGGUACGGCCAGGUAACUGAUGGGAACAAGCAAUCGCGACACUAGCACCUGUAAAGCAGUGUUGCUGUGUCUCCAGGAAGGUUUCCAAGCUGUUGUAGGUCAAUCAGUACAAACACUGGCUCUGUCUCCACUGCAUUGUAAACCCGGGUCUGGACAAUUGCUGGACCUGCGUCUCACCGCUAUGCUAAUGCAUCCACACUGCACUGUGCAGCCUUUCUGACUUGGGUCUGUGGUUUGAGCUGUGUCUCCACUGCAAAAUGACAGGGCUUGGACCUGAAUCUCGGCACAACUCAGUCUCUGACACUCCACCUCACCAGCAGGAGCCCAGUCAGGCUGAUUUGCGUGUGGACGGAGAUCAGACUUGCGCUCAAACCUGAGUCAGAGCCCACACUUGACGUGCAGUGCAGACAUACCCUCUGUGCCUAAAGCAGCCCUUUGUUUCUUUUGGCAACGGGAAUUCUCAGGUCCCAAAGAUUUCCAGGCUGGCCCCCAGCUUGGCUCAGCAUCUUCUGGUGCCAGUUAGCUGGCUGCUCACAGCCGAUUGCUUGCACCUGGAGACUGUAUUGAUGGGUGCAAGCAGAACAGAUGACUUUGCUACCUGCUAAGGUACUUCCAGGGCCCCCACAACCCACAGUAUCUGAGCGUCUAUCUUUAACGUAUUUCCUCUCACAUCGUCCCUGUGAGGUAGAAACAGGGCUGUUAUCCCCUUUUGAAAGCCAGGGACCAAGGCACAGAGACCCCAAGGCCUGGAUCCUCAAAGGUAUUUCGGUACCUAAUGCUCAACAGGAGGGUUAGGUACCUACCUACCUACCUCAGGGCCUGGGCCUUAGUGACUUACCACCCAGCAAGAGACAGCGUGGCCUACUGCUGGUGCUGCAACCCACAGAAAGCCUGUUGCCAAGACAAGAAUUGAGCCUUUGUCUCCCUAACUAGAAUGUGAUCCUUCCUCACUCUGGAAGACUUGAACUCACCAUACAUCAGUGCUGCUCAGGUUCAAAGGCCGCAGUCUGUCGCAAGGAGCCACUCAGUUACUGUUGCUAAGCCCACACAAUUAGAUUUGCUGCCAUACUUGGGGGUCUCUUCCUUAGUUCUGGUUUCUGAAUCUUUAGCCUGACAAACCCCAGCUCCUGCAACGUGAACGCAUCUCAAGGUCUAUCACUGUGCAGGAGCAAUAACUGCUUUGUUCAGCAAGGGUCCCUACGCAACAGCAACCAGCAGAGUAAAUGUACAGCAAACAGGCAAACCUGCAAGGGUAGAGAUUUGCAAUGUCAAGAGGUCUCCACUUCCUGGGAUCACUAUGCAGAGUGACUUCGCACUCCUAUUUACUACCCCUCAGUGUCUCACCAGUUGGCCAUCUGUUUGUGACUCCUGGGUGCUGUGCAAAUGGGUUGCUAUUGCUGUAAUCAGUGGGUAAGGCCACCCCUUCUAGCAGAGGCAAUUCUUCAGGCUGGCCUGGCUGCUGCUGCUGAGGGGCAGCUUUAGCGAAGAGUGGAGCUGCGUUCAAAGGUCAGAACAUUUGGUUAUGGGUCUGCUCAGCCCCGUGACCCCUUUUAAAAGCCAACCACCUGUGACACAGACAGUGGCAGGGCGGUGGGUGAAAUUUUCAGAAGCACCUAAGUGAGUUUGGAGGCAGAGGCUAUAUGAUAGACUUCUGUCAGCACAUCUAUGUGAGUCCGGGGCACGAGCAGGUGUGAUCCCUGGCCAACAUCAUUGUGCCAGCAGAAGCUGCUAGCAUAGGCCCAGUUAUAUCCGCAUAGCUUUUACUGGGAUAGCUUGUUUCACUCCUGGGGGGGUGGUUUUACUAUUCAGGUACAAAACACAGCUUUGCUGGUAUGGCUGCAUCCACAUUAGCCGUACUUUGUCAGUUUAAAACCCUGGUAUAAUAAAGUGCUCCUCAUGUAGACGUAGCUGCUGUAACUGAAAUCAGAAGCAGGGAGAAAUUCACACUCCUCCCUGUUAAAAUCACACCACUGUUAAACCAGUCACACUCCUACCUGUUAAAGCUAUGCCAGCAAAUGCUUAGUGUAGACUCAGUUAUAUUGACAAAAAAGUCCUUUUGCCAGCAUAGCUUUUUUUUUUUUGGUGGGAACUUCACUUGCAAAAAUACUUUCUUUGCCCGUAUAAGCUACAUCUCCACAAGGAGGGUUUGCGGGUAUAACUGCAUUGGGCAAACCCUUUUGUAUGGAGACAAGGUCUUUGGUUUCCUAAGAAUCUGCAAUGACAGUAUUUUUAAUCUGAUCAUUUUUGACCAUGGUUGCUUGCAAUCCCCAUGGCUGAACAGGACAUACCCACUUACAUAUGUUUCAAAGAUGUAAGUAGCAGGAGGAAGAGUUGUAGUACACCACUCCUCUUUUUGUCUGCUGGUUAUUGCAUCUUUAGCCCCUAUUGCUGUAGGCCUAUUGAAGUGCUGGCUCUUCUUGUCAGUUACAUACCCCUCUUUAAGUGCUCUGCAUAUGCUAAACUUCGGGCUUCUACUUUCCAAGUCAUUGCCUUCAGUCUGGUUCCUUUUGGGAGACCAAUCCUUCCAUACACUUUCCCCCGGUACCUUAGCAUGGCGUAACAGAACAGGCCAUCAGCUUUUGCAAAAGCAGCUGCUGAGAUCUUGCUAUUGGCCUAUUUCUUAAUUUUGCAGUUUGGUCGCAUUCUUCGGAGGCAAAAUGGGCAGUAAGCUAAAUAGAUACAUUUUCAGGUAAUUGGUAUGAAGCAAGGGCACACUCUAGUGGCCAAUUAAAGAACAUACACAUAUGUUUAACUAAUUUACUAUCAUUUUAGGGAUGCAUUCCCAACCAUUUCACUUAAUUACCUUGUGUUUCAGAUACCAGUUCCAUCUGGCUGUCUGCAAUGGAGGGAAGGAUGUUGCAACUUGCAGGGUGUAAGGGGUUGAACAUCUUGGCAGUCAGACACCAUGCUGAAGACUACAUUAGAAACACUAAGAAUGAUCAAAGCUUCUGGGUUUAAAGUGAAUAUUUACUUUAUAGUCCUAGCAAGGGCUUCCAAAGGUGUCAUCUAAUGGCACAUUUUCAUACAUUUAAGGUAGAUUGUGUAGUGGUGAACUGGCUGCCAGAAUGUAGAAAACCUUCAUAUUACAGCAGCUUGGGGAAAUGAAGUAAGUAAUGUAGUUGGAAUUUUUGCACUUUUUUUUUUUUUUUUUUACUAGUCUUGAACAUGUGUUUAUAUCAUGACCCCUCUCCUGCUUCACCUGGCAAAUCAUGAUCUUGUGUUUAAUAGUCUGUCACUAUGAAUAUGACUGCAGUAUCUGGAUGACCACAAUUGUCAUUAUAAACAUGUGAUGACCUGAUCUCUAUGGCAGUCAAAGGAAUUCUCCCCUCCUAUUUUACUCCAUGAAGUGCACAAUUGCCCAGAAGCAUUAUGGGAGGUUUACUUCAUGCUCUUAAGCAUCAGAUAUUAGCCAGUGCUGGAGGCAAGAUAUAUGAAAUGAUAAACUAAGUCUGAUCCAGUAUGGCUAAACUAUGUCCCAUUAGCUCUUCACUGUAGGAUUAAUAGGAGAGAAAUGUACUGUGAGGGAGGCAAGCCUUGUUGACCAUAUAUAAGUUGUUUUAGAAAUUCAACUGCUGUAAGUUUUCUUCCUAAAGCAUAAUGUAUGCCAUUCAUACAGCAAGAGUGAUACUUCACACAUUCUUUUUUGCCUGUAAGCAUGUAGACUAAUGGCUUAUAAAAUUACCAGGAUACUUUCUUUAGAGAAUAUUUUAUUAGUUUCUGUAAUCAAACCCAUGUAAAUAAGACCUUACAUAUUUAAUACAGUAUUACCCCUGUACAAAUGGAAAAAAAAUUAAGUUGAACAUUUCUAGACCAAUAUGGCUGUUAAUUUCUGUACAAUGCCAACUCACAGUACAAGUGGGAUACUUUUUUCCAAAGUUGACAUCACAGCUAAAGUUUCCAAAAAUUCAAAUUAUAUAUAUAUUUAUAUAAAAAGAUAACCAAUAGCGAUUCACUAGGCAUCAAUAGCAGCAACAGCCUUCCAGCUUCUGCAGUCAUCUGAACAAAAUUAUACACAUUAGACUUUCAGCAUACUUCCUUCCAAAAAGUAAAAAAACAAAAAAUCCCAGAAAAAAACAGCAAAUUCUGUUAUUGAUGUGGUACCUGGUGCCUUUUAUUAGCUUCUCAAUCAUUGUCUGGAAAAAAACAUUAUUAAAAACAGCUCUGGUAUAGCACAGUCACUACUACAUAUCAUAAGCAGGUACAGGAUAUCUUACAUUCACAGAAGUAUCAUACAGUACUGUCCUACAGCUAUAAUAGAGGAUACAAUUAAAAAGGCAUUAUUUGACUUGAUUCUACUUUCCAGCACACAGUGGGCAAGAAGGAGGUGCGAUGCAGCUCUGACGUAAGAAUGCACCUUUUUAAGAUAAGGUUCUCUUUACUCUGAUAAAGUUUCUCUUUAAUCUAGCAGCACAGUUCUAAGUGCUCAUUGCUCUAUACAGACAAAAGCUGGAAACUGGUUAAAGACUACUGGUUUCAUACAAGGAUAGCCAAACAGAGGUGAACAGAACUCAUUUGACUAUUAAUGCAAUUAGGCUUUGAAAUCUAAGGGGUGAACGUCUGAGGAGGCGUGGGUAUAGAGAGUAACGUGUGCCAAGUGACACUUUACUGUCAUGAUCUAAGUACAUCAUCAUAUCAAACAAAAGCAACAGCAGUCAAACACUGCCUUUUUAGGGAAAUUUGACACAAUGCUGAUGUCACUAAUUGUGUUCCAUUACUUUAGAUGCCAUGUGGUGAAGGAUAAACUACUCUAUGUGACUUGCCAAUUAUAUUAAUUCUCAUUUCUUUAUUGCGAAACAGCAGCUUUCAAGUCACUAAAAAAAGUAAAAAUAAACACACCUUACUUUGUCCAGCACUGUCUUCAGACUGCACGAGUGGAGAGAGACAGCUUAUAAAAGAUGAAAUAGCAGCCAAACAACAGCAGAGCAUGAAUAAAAGAGUAUUCACCCUUCCAGUUCUUCAGCCACCUUCUCCCCUGUUGUGCUAUUUCCCAUUAUGUAUCUGGAUGGCAUAUAAAUGUGUAUGUCAAUAUACGCACAUACACUCCACCAAAAGCAGACCUCAUGCUAUAUUAGAGAAGCUGCAAGCCCAAAGAGUUUUAUUGGACCUGCAGCUGUUUAUGUUUGUCAAUGCCAGUAGCGUCUAUCUCCCUUUAUACUGUUUGGAGCCAUGAAGGGAUAAAAGACUACUGUUUUGCCCUUUGGGCUACAGGUUCACGCUGCUGUCAUAUCACCCCCCUCCCCCCAGCUUCAUAGAAACACAGCCUUUAAGAUUUUGUUUCUUCUGUCUUGAUUGCCUGAGGUUUGAUUGGUCCAGUUCUAACAGGUUUUGUGGUGGCAGCAGGCGCAGGGGCAGGCUUUUCCUCCACUUUCUCCUGGCAGACCCCUGAUGAGUCUGUCAUUGCCUCAGCGGGUUUGCUUCCACUUUCAUCCACUUUUUGAGCUUUGCCUCCUAUUGGUUUGCUCGGUUGUUGC